GAUGAACGCUGGCAGCAUGCUUAACACAUGCAAGUCGACCUGGACGUCGGGUUUGGUGGCGGACGGGUGAGUAACACGUAAAGAACUUGCCUCACAGCUAGGGACAACCUUCGGAAAAGAAUGCUAAUAACUGAUAUUAUGAUUUUACGGCAUCCUAAAACCAUGAAAGCUAGAUGCGCUGUGAGAGAGCUUUGCGUGCCAUUAACUAGUUGGGGAGGUAACGGCUCACCAAGGCGAGGGAGGGUAGCCGGCCUGAGAGGGUGAGCGGCCACAAGGGGACAGAGAGACAGCCCCUACACUCACGGGAGGGAGCAGUGGGGGAUAUUUGACGAAAGACGAGGAAGCUUAUCCGGCAAUUGUGUGGGGACGAUGAAGUGUUCCGGAGUGGUGAAUUGCUUCAGUUGGGAAGAAAAAAAUGACGGUACCUGCAGAAGAAGCGACGGCUAAAUACGUG
rnacentral:rRNA from 1 species